AGCAGUCGCCACGGUAAUACGUAGGGUGCGAGCGUUAAUCGGAAUUACUGGGCGUAAAGCGUGCGCAGGCGGUUCGUUAAGACAGAUGUGAAAUCCCCGGGCUUAACCUGGGAACUGCAUUUGUUACUGACGGGCUAGAGUAUGGCAGAGGGGGGUAGAAUUCCACGUGUAGCAGUGAAAUGCGUAGAGAUGUGGAGGAAUACCGAUGGCGAAGGCAGCCCCCUGGGCCAAUACUGACGCUCAUGCACGAAAGCGUGGGGAGCAAACAGGAUUAGAUACCCCUGUAGUCCCUGUCUCUUAUAC
rnacentral:rRNA from 1 species